rnacentral:rRNA from 1 species
GAUGAACGCUGGCGGCGUGCCUAAUACAUGCAAGUCGAGCGAACAGACGAGGAGCUUGCUCCUCUGACGUUAGCGGCGGACGGGUGAGUACCACGUGGAUAACCUACCUAUAAGACUGGGAUAACUUCGGGAAACCGGAGCUAAUACCGGAUAAUAUAUUGAACCGCAUGGUUCACUAGUGAAAGACGGUUUUGCUGUCACUUAUAGAUUGAUCCGCGCCGCAUUAGCUAGUUGGUAAGGUAACGGCUUACCAAGGCAACGAUGCGUAGCCGACCUGAGAGGGUGAUCGGCCAGACUGGAACUGAGACACGGUCCAGACUCCUACGGGAGGCAGCAGUAGGGAAUCUUCCGCAAUGGGGGAAAGCCUGACGGAGCAACGCCGCGUGAGUGAUGAAGGUCUUCGGAUCGUAAAACUCUGUUAGUAGGGAAGAACAAAUGUGUAAGUAACUAUGCACGUCUUGACGGUACCUGAUCAGAAAGCCACGGCUAACUACGUG